rnacentral:piRNA from 1 species
UACUUUAAUCAGUCAGUUGUAUCGUGGUC